UUCCCCUCGUGUGCCUACAAAAACACACUGUUUUGGGCCAACUUUCCAUCGUCACAUUUGCAGCCAUCUGAAAGCCAGAGCCAGGCUUUGGUGCCGGAAAUAUAGCAGAUCUUCUAAAUGGAGGAGAAACUUCCCUUCUCAGCCUUCCCAGCUUCUGAGGGUGCUAAGCACCGUGAGGUCAUCCCUGGAGGAUAAGCUUCUUGUAACAAGGUUUUCUCUCCCUAAGUCUGGAGUAAAUAGGGAGACCUUCUUCCAAAGGUGGCACUGCUGGCUAUUCAAAUGAAUACAGAGAGCUGACUGUGAACGGUCAUGUUCACAAACACAUUUUCCUUUACUGGCAGAGCAUCUGAAAACAUACCUGCGAUUACCUUGGAUUUGGUCAUGAUGAAAAGACAGUGAAAGUUUAUUCUCAAGUUGCACUUCUUCCUUUCUGUUUUUGGAAGCAAAAUGACCGACAUGCAGCUUUGCCAUGGUUGAUGAUGUGACUUUGGCUCACAGCCCAGAAGAAUGUCACUGCCCGACAGGAUGAGGAGGAGAGAACCAAAAUCUAGUGCUGGAGAAUUGUAAACCCGUGUAACAUUUUUUCAGCUGCUUUUGAAACCUGGUGGCAUGAAUGUGAACAUGAGAAGUGUACCAAUAGACCUCUUAUUUUUAAAUCGGCUCUUGAACCACAACCAGUAUAUUUCCAGUGCUGACAUUCUCUCUCCAAGUAUCAGUAAGUUUUGGCAACUUCUCUAGAGCACAAGGAACCAGGAUCUCUGCAAUCCAGGAUGGUGUCUGAUAGACAGGAGGAGAGCAGGCAUUCUUCGCUAACCAUGCUGUCCUGCCCGGCUCUUGCUUCUCCCUGAAGAUAUUCACUAAAGGCUGCAGUGCCCAAACACCAGGGUGACCUUGUGCUGACUUAGCACAUUGAAGAAGGCAGAAGCAAACCCUUCUCUGCAAAAAUGUGGAGGUUUCCUCAAACUGAAGCUGGAGCCAGGCUCUUCUUGGGUGCCCAGUGAAAGGGCAAGAGGCAAUGAGAACAAAUUGAAAACACUUCUUCUCUUUUAGGGUAGACCAACAUCAUCAGGUUGCCCAGAGAGGGUGUGGAGUCUCCAUGCUCAGAGAUAUUGGUAUACUCAACUGGGAUGAGGUCCUGCUCUAGAAGACCUCACUAUGAUGCUCUCCAGAGGGACCUCCAGCCUCAGUCUGUAACCACUGGCAGUCGUUUAUAGAAAAACUGAGUUCUUGGAGUCUUGUUUUUUGCUGUGAAAGCAUUUAAAGUGAAGAUAACGUCAACUUCUCCCAUAGGCUGCAGCACUCUGUACAGCUUUGCUUUUCCAUGGCAGUCGCCAAGCUUCUAGUUGUACCUGGAGAGACAUGCACGGUGGGCAAGGCAAGAACCAGCCCAAGGGGAAGGCUCCUACCCUCAGCCUCCUUUGGAAGGCCAAAAUCUGGGCACAGAUUUUCACUGGAGCUCUUCAGGUGGUUUCUUAACCUUGAAGAUGCUUUCCAUGUCUGAUGAGGGGCAAAGUUGAUGACAAAAAAAGAGUCAGGUGGAUGACAGGGAUGGAGAGCCACGGGGAUCAAGUGUAAUCUGCAAAAGGAGGAACACCAGUAGAGACUGCACAGUGUGAAGACACUGGGAGGCUGCAUGUGCUCUGCCUGCACCUCCUCUUAAACAGGAGGGGUUGGGUACCUUCCUUCUGCAGACUUUGCAGUGGGGCUGUGCAAGGAACAGGGAAAUCUCUUCCCACUUCCAAGAGAGAUGCCUUCAAAUUCACAGGCACUGCUGCACAGGGGUGGCUUUGCUGCAGAAAGCAGAGCACAGCAUGUCCUCCCGCUUAGUGCCUGUGGGUGAGGUGCUUUACCAGGCCCAAGUCAUUUGACAUUGUUCUAGUGGGUGUCUGAAGCUAAUGAAUCCAGAUUAGGUAGUGCGGAGGCUGGGGAGCUAGAUUUCUGCUGAAUAUACAUAAAGGCAAAUAUGAAUUCUAAAACUUUAAGGGAGUAUUUCUACCCUGGCUCAGUGCUAAUGGUUGAUAAAAAUAGUCACAAAUUAGUGCAGGAAUAGGAAGAAAAUUCGGGCUUUGUCUUUUUUUUUUUUUUAAACUGCUAAAACCGGACAUCUAUUUUUCUACCAGGAGUUAAUUUCUUACAUGCAAUAAUAAAGCAUGGAGUAAACUAUCAACAUGUGCCCUUCCCUGGCAGAAUAACUCCCACCUCAAUUAAGUAAAUAGGAGGAGGAACUGAAGUUAAAUUAAAAAAAAAAAAAAUCCUUUGUAUUGAAAAAAAUAAAGGUGAUUAAAUCAGAAAUUCAGCUCCGCAAGGAGGAUGUGAGCAUCAGGUUAACCCUUCUGUCUGGUUCCCUAGCACCUGAGUGCUUGCAGAGGUAAUGAGGAGGCAACUCGCUCUACUCUACAGAUGGGAAAACUGCAGUACAGAAAACAGCAAUUUCACUGAAUGUCACAGAGCAAAGCAGAAGUCACCCUGGUGAUUCAGAUGACUUCUGAGCCAAUUCCCAGCUGAAAUACAGCCCACACAAUGCUGCUUGGAGCACUCAUGGUUGAACUGCCAAGGAGGAGCAUCCUCUCUGGGUACUGAUGGAUGUGUGGCCACAGGCAGGUGAGGGCACUUGCUGAAAGGAGCCCAGUAGCUUUAUGAAUUAAUAUCUGGACAGUGAAUAAUACCUGGUACGUGAUAUUAGAUGUUGAAACCAGCAGACUGAGCAGUGAGAAGAUGAGCCCUUGGGAGAUUUAGCAGAUACAGCCCAGAGCUGCUGGGUGCAGAGCUGACUUAACGUAUGAGACUGGAACGAAAACCCUUUUAGGGUGCAAUGCUGUUGAAAAAGUACAUACUAAAAAGAAAAGAAAAACAAAAACAAAGAAAGAUGUGUUUUUCAGAAGUUCAUUUUUAAGAAUAAAAUGUUACUUAACUGACCCGCUUCUGACUGCUUUAGUCUUCAAAUGUUUAGAAAUCCUAUCCCACACCUAAGCUGCAUACAAUCAUAGAAUCAUAGAUUCAUUAAGGUUGAAAAAGGCCACUAAGAUCAUCUGGUCCAACUGCCAACCUAUCACUACCAUCCACACUCAUGUCACUCAGUGCCAUAUCUACACCAAACUUGAAAACCUUCAGGGAUGGUGACUUCACCACUUCACUGGGCAGAGUGUUCCAAUAUCUUGCCACUCUUUUUGAUAAGAAGUUCUUCCUAAUGUCCAAACUGAAUCUUCUCUGGCAUAACUUGAGGCCAUUCCCUCUCAUCCUAUUGCUAAUUACAUGGGAGAAGAGGCUGAACCCCACCUCAUCACAAACCUCCCUUCAGGGAUCUGUAGAGAGCAAUGAGGUCUCCCAUGAGCCGCCUCAGUUGCUCCUCAUAAGAUUUGUGCUCCAGACCCCUCCCCAGCUUCUUUGCCCUUCUCUGAACACGCUCCAGGGCCUCAAUGUCUUUCUUGGGGUGAGGGACCCAAACCUGAACACAGCACUUGAGGUGUGACCUCACCAGUGCUGAGUACAGAGGGACGACCACCUCCCUGCUCCUGCUGGCUACACUAUUUCUGAUACAAGCCAGGAUGCCAUUGGCUUUCUCGGCCCUGGAGGGCCUCUCUAAUUUUCCCUCUGCAUAUCCUGGUGAUGUCUCUGUAUUCCUCACAACUUGCCUAAGCCUUCUUCCAAAGAUCACAAACUCUUUUUCCCAGAGUCUCAGCAAAAGUACCCUGUUCAUCCACACUGGUCAUUUUCCCUACCAGUUCAUCUUACAGCACAGGGGAACAGCCUGCUGCUGUGCCUCUAAGACUUCCUUCUUGAGGGGUGUCCAGCCUUCCUGGACCCCUUUGCCCUUUAGGACUGAAUACCAAGGGACCCUCCCUCCCAGGGUCUUGAACAAUUCAAAGUCUGCCCUCCAGAAACCCAAGGCAGCUUUUUUUUUUUUUUUUUUUUUUUUUUUUUUUUUUUUUU
ensembl:lncRNA